UUAUUCGCUGAUGGUACUGCGAGUUCGCGGGAGAGUAAGUUAUUGCCAGGGUUUUUAUUUUGUACUUUAAACCUUAAAUUUAUUUUUUAUAUUUUUUUAAUGUUCAUGUUUUUGAAUGUUUUAUUCAAAUAAUGUAAAAAAUAAAAUAGAUAUUGACAUGGAUUGAACAAAAGAUAUAUAUUAUUUUAUGUUGCAUAAACAAAUUGGCAAAAUAGAGAUGGAAGAUAAAAAUAUGGUCAAAGUAAUAAGAGUCUAUGGUGAAUGCCUAGGAGCUUUAAGGCGAAGAAGGUCGA
rnacentral:misc_RNA from 1 species